rnacentral:tRNA from 1 species
GCCCGUGUGGCUCAAUGGAUAGAGCACCAGCCUCUGGAUGCAGGGUCCCAGGUUCAAUUCCGGUCAAGGGCA